UUUUUUUUUUUUUUAAAUCAUAUUAUAUUUUUAAAUUUAAGACAUUUUUAUUUAAAAAGAAUCCUUAAAAUAUUAGAAUAUACAGUUAGGUUGUAUAAUUAAGGGAAAAUCUAAACAGAAAUGGAAGCAACAUCAGAGGAUCAAACAUUUGCGAAUCCGAACACUUUUACGACGUCUCUUUCCGCCAUGAAUUUUGACAUCCUUGGAGUCAUUCCUUGCACGCCCCAUCUCUUCGCUCCUUGAUCUUCUGUUGGCCAUCAUGACUUUGACAAA
rnacentral:misc_RNA from 1 species